rnacentral:rRNA from 1 species
AACGAACGCUGGCGGCAGGCCUAACACAUGCAAGUCGAGCGAACCCUUCGGGGUUAGCGGCGGACGGGUUAGUAACGCGUGGGAAUAUACCCUUUGGUACGGAAUAGCCUCGGGAAACUGAGAGUAAUACCGUAUGUGCCCUUCGGGGGAAAGAUUUAUCGCCAAAGGAUUAGCCCGCGUUGGAUUAGAUAGUUGGUGGGGUAAUGGCCUACCAAGUCUACGAUCCAUAGCUGGCUUGAGAGGAUGAUCAGCAACACUGGGACUGAGACACGGCCCAGACUCCUACGGGAGGCAGCAGUGGGGAAUCUUAGACAAUGGGCGCAAGCCUGAUCUAGCCAUGCCGCGUGGACGAUGAAGGCCUUAGGGUUGUAAAGUCCUUUCAGAUGGGAAGAUAAUGACGGUACCAUCAGAAGAAGCCCCGGCUAACUCCGUG